rnacentral:rRNA from 1 species
AUUGAACGCUGGCGGCAGGCCUAACACAUGCAAGUCGAGCGGAUGAAGGAAGCUUGCUCCUGGAUUCAGCGGCGGACGGGUGAGUAAUGCCUAGGAAUCUGCCUGGUAGUGGGGGAUAACGUCCGGAAACGGGCGCUAAUACCGCAUACGUCCUGAGGGAGAAAGUGGGGGAUCUUCGGACCUCACGCUAUCAGAUGAGCCUAGGUCGGAUUAGCUAGUUGGUGGGGUAAAGGCCUACCAAGGCGACGAUCCGUAACUGGUCUGAGAGGAUGAUCAGUCACACUGGAACUGAGACACGGUCCAGACUCCUACGGGAGGCAGCAGUGGGGAAUAUUGGACAAUGGGCGAAAGCCUGAUCCAGCCAUGCCGCGUGUGUGAAGAAGGUCUUCGGAUCGUAAAGCACUUUAAGUUGGGAGGAAGGGCAGUAAGUUAAUACCUUGCUGUUUUGACGUUACCAACAGAAUAAGCACCGGCUAACUUCGUG